AUUUGGAUAAUUUUUCAUCAUUUUAGAAUUGGGUCGGAGCAAUGCUUACAUAUCCAAGAUCACGUUAUUUUAGAAUUUUAGUGAUGGGUUGGAGAUUCUCUCAAGAAUGUAUUACAAUCACGCCCAAGCAAAGGGUAGAAUUUCAUUGGAGGGACUAAUGAAGUUGCUAGAUCGAGUGUAAAACCUACAUGCAUGCAUAAGCAAAUAAACAAAAACAGAGACAGGUGCUGUUAGUGAUAAAAUCGUCAUACCUUCCAACAUCUAUCUCAAGAGAAUAGACAAACUAGAUGCAUAUGAAGACUUUGCCACAAAUAGUAUUUGACUUGGUUAUCAGAGUACAGGUGAUAAAAUUGGUCAGAAUAUCAGAUACAUGCACACACAACUAUAUUUUACUAUUCAUACUCAAUGAAUCAAUGAUCCCUGACAGCAACAGACAGGCAUAAUUUCUGCUAUAUCUUUAUUUCUCCGAAGAUUCCUUUAAAAUGUCCAUAGAAAUAUGAGGAUAGAUGUCAUGUUCAUCAGUUAUAAACAUGGCAACUUGGCAAACUAAUGAAGCGUGCACAAUUACUUUUCUGCUUAUUCAUUCAAAUCAGUUCCUUAUUUAGCGAUUUGUAUGAAGUGGGUGCAUCAGUACUUAAAUAAGCAUGAUGUAUCAAAUUUACUAAAAUUGUAAUAGCACUCUAUACAAGAUUUGUUGCAUCUGCUGCUAGCGUAAUUAGGCUGCCACUGUCACACUGCAGAACUUGCUUAAAGAUUAUAAUGAUGGUAUAUUUUUACCGAAUGAAGCAUGGCAACUUGGUACCGACUAACUUGAAUGGGAGUGAGCUACUUUGAUACCUCAGUUCUUUUUGCUUUGGAGAAAUUAAUACGGUUCAAGGCACACUUAUAUGACAGGGAUGAGGCAUGGCAAUUUGGUACCGACUAACUUGAAUGUGAGUGAGCUACUUUGAUACCGCAGUUCCUUUUGCUUUGGAGAAAUUAAUUUAGUGCAAGGCACACUUAUAUGACAGGGGAAUGUAUGAAGGCAAACUAAUGACAUUCAUAGUAAUUCAUUAUUCAGUGACAAUAACAGUAGCUUUUUUUUGGUUGUGAACUUGUGCUAAUUCA